UUUUUUGAGAAUUUGAUCCUGGUUCAGGAUGAACGCUGGCGGUGUGCCUUAAGCAUGCAAGUCGUGCGGGUUUUGUCGCAAGACAGAAUCAGCGGCAAACGGGUGAGUAACGCGUAGGGAUCUACCUUUUCGUGGGGGAUAGCUCGCCGAAAGGCGGGGUAAUACCGCAUGUGAUCGCGAGAUGAAAGUCGUAAGACGCGAAAAGAGGAACCUGCGCCCCAUCAGGUUGUUGGCGGGGUAAUAGCCCACCAAGCCUAUGACGGGUAGCCGGAGUGAGAGCUCGAUCGGCCACAAGGUAACUGAGACACGGUGCCUACACCUACGGGUGGCAGCAACUGGGAAUCUUGCGCAAUGGACGAAAGUCUGACGCAGCGACACCGCGUGUGGGAUGAAUGCCUUCGGGUUGUAAACCACUGUGGCAGGGGAAUAAAAAAAUGAAGGUACCCUGCUAGAAAGCACCUGCUAACUACGUGCCAGAAGCCUCGGUAAUACGUAGGGUGCAAGCGUUAUCCGGAUUUACUGGGCGUAAAGAGUCUCGUAGGCGGAUGUGUGCGUGGCGGGUUUAAUCCUGGGGCUCAACUCCAGAACAGCUCGUCAUACGGCAUAUCUAGAGUCUGUUAGAGGGAACUGGAAUUCUCGGUGGAGGGGUGAAAUCCGUAGAUAUCGAGAAGAACGCCAAGGGUGAAGACAGGUUCCUGGGACAGUACUGACGCUGAUGAACGACAGCUAGGGUCGCGAAAGGGAUAAGGGUAAAAACUCUAGUCCAUCUAUGAAGUAAUUCAUAGAAAAAAACAUUCAGCUAUAUGCUGGAAGAUCUGAGUAUCUUGGGCUAGUUGAUGAUUGAAUUCGUGUUACAUUCGGGUAUUAUAAAAGUAAUGCCUAUGAAUAUACAUACACAAUCUUCAACUGAAAAUGCUUCAAGUGCAGACAACCAGCAGGCAACCCCAUGGGAAACAUGGGAGAGUCCUCAGAGACUAUACGCUGAAUAUCCUAACGGGAAAGCUACUUUAUUGGGAAUACUGUAUACAGACGGAUGUCUGUCCAAAAUGAGCAAAUACACCUGGAGAUUUUAUCUCGGGAAUACCUCCUUAGAAAUAAUCAUAGUAUUUAGAGCGUGUAUGAUGAACAUUUUUGGAUUAGAUAGCCAAAAAAUACGCAUUGCUCAAAAAAUGGUAAAUGGAAAACCUUAUUAUAAAGCCGUUGUUAAUAGUGGUCAUUAUGGUAAUCAAUUGAUUGCUCAGUAUGGCACAUUUAGAACACUUGCUUAUAAGGAUGAAAAUGGAGAGAAGUUAUAUCCAUAUGCUCAUUUACCUUUUAAUACCUCUUCAAAUCAGAAAGAAGUUUCAGAUUUUUUGAGAGCAGCAUUUAGUUGUGAUGGGGGAGUAAAUUUAUAUAUUGGAAAAUCAAAGACUGGUUAUAAGUCUUUGAUUCGGAAUGUAUUUUUAUCCUGUCACCAUCCAAAACUUCAACACGAUUAUUGCGAUCUUUUAUCCUCUCUAGAGAUUAAGGCUAGAUUGCUUUUGAAAGAUAACAAAAUUCGUAUUGAAAGAAGAGAAGAUUUACAGAAAUUCCAAGAAAAAGUUGGCUUUCUCAAAGGUGUGAAGAUUACUCAGCAUUCCAAGUAUUGGCAAGGCUGGGAAAAGAAUAUUGUGUUAGAUCUCGCAUUAUCUUCAUAUGGUAAUGUGGGGAGCAUUCUUAAUCUUCCUCAGUUUUCUUAGGAUAAUGAUAUAGUCCGAUCUCAUGGGCGACCAUGAGCAUGUUGUUAACAGAUAACAACAGCCAUCUUUUUUCUAGCCGUAAACUCUGCUUGCUAGUUGGUCGGAUUUAUCCGGCUGACGUAAGCUAACGCGUUAAGCAAGCCGCCUGGGGAGUACGGCCGCAAGGCUAAAACUCAAAGGAAUUGACGGGGGAGCGCACAACCAGUGGAGCAUGUGGUUUAAUCCGAGACGAAGCGAAGACCUUACCUAGAUUUGACAUGUACCUGCAUUCUCGCGGAAACGCAAGAAGCCUUCGAGGGUGGUACACAGGUGAUGCAUGGCUGUCGUCAGCUCGUGGCGUGAGUCGUCUGCUUAAGUGCAGGAACGAGCGCAACCCCUGCCGUGUGUUGCAUUUCACACGGGACUGCCCAUCUUCAAGAUGGGAGGAAGGAGGGGACGAAGUCAAGUCAGCACGUCCCUUACAUCUAGGGCCACACACAUCCUACAAUGGCAUCAACAACGGGUCGCAAUGGGGUAACCCGGAGCUAAUCCUUAUAAAUGGUGCCUCAGUUCAGAUUGCGGGCUGAAACUCGCCCGCAUGAAGUCGGAAUUGGUAGUAAUCGCAGAUCAGAUGGCUGCGGUGAAUACGUUCUCGCUCCUUGUACAACGUAAAUAUGCGCCUUC
rfam:Microgenomates bacterium GW2011_GWB1_45_17 TX00_C0002, whole genome shotgun sequence.